UUUACUAAAAACACAGGUCCGUGCGAAGUCGCAAGACGAUGUAUACGGACUGACGCCUGCCCGGUGCUGGAAGGUUAAGAGGACCGGUUAGUUCUUCGGAGCGAAGCUGAGAAUUUAAGCCCCAGUAAACGGCGGUGGUAACUAUAACCAUCCUAAGGUAGCGAAAUUCCUUGUCGGGUAAGUUCCGACCUGCACGAAUGGCGUAACGACUUCUCCACUGUCUCAACCACGAACUCGGCGAAAUUGCACUACGAGUAAAGAUGCUCGUUACGCGCAGCAGGACGGAAAGACCCCGGGACCUUUACUACAGCUUGGUAUUGGUGUUCGGUACGGCUUGUGUAGGAUAGGUGGGAGACUGUGAAGCAUGCACGCCAGUGUGUGUGGAGUCAACGUUGAAAUACCACUCUGGUCGUUCUGGAUAUCUAACCUCGGUCCGUGAUCCGGAUCAGGGACAGUGCCUGGUGGGUAGUUUAACUGGGGCGGUUGCCUCCUAAAAGGUAACGGAGGCGCCCAAAGGUUCCCUCAGCCUGGUUGGCAAUCAGGUUUUGAGUGUAAGUGCACAAGGGAGCUUGACUGUGAGACAGGCAUGUCGAGCAGGGACGAAAGUCGGGACUAGUGAUCCGGCGGUGGCUUGUGGAAGCGCCGUCGCUCAACGGAUAAAAGGUACCCCGGGGAUAACAGGCUGAUCUUGCCCAAGAGUCCAUAUCGACGGCAUGGUUUGGCACCUCGAUGUCGGCUCGUCGCAUCCUGGGGCUGGAGUAGGUCCCAAGGGUUGGGCUGUUCGCCCAUUAAAGCGGUACGCGAGCUGGGUUUAGAACGUCGUGAGACAGUUCGGUCCCUAUCCGCUGUGCGCGUAGGAAACUUGAGAAGAGCUGUCCCUAGUACGAGAGGACCGGGAUGGACGAACCUCUGGUGUGUCAGUUGUUCUGCCAAGAGCACGGCUGAUUAGCUACGUUCGGAAGUGAUAACCGCUGAAAGCAUCUAAGCGGGAAGCACGCUUCAAGAUGAGGUUUCCAUGGGCUUCGGCCCGAGAGGCUCCCAGCUAGACUACUGGGUUGAUAGGCCAGACGUGGAAGCACAGUAAUGUGUGUAGCUGACUGGUACUAAUAAGCCGAUAACUUGACACAACAAAG
rnacentral:rRNA from 1 species